GACGAACGCUGGCGGCGUGCUUAACACAUGCAAGUCGAGCGGAAAGGCCCUUCGGGGUACUCGAGCGGCGAACGGGUGAGUAACACGUGAGUAACCUGCCCCUGACUCUGGGAUAAGCCCGGGAAACUGGGUCUAAUACCGGAUACGACACCUCCUGGCAUCGGGUGGGUGUGGAAAGUUUUUUCGGUUGGGGAUGGACUCGCGGCCUAUCAGCUUGUUGGUGGGGUAAUGGCCUACCAAGGCGACGACGGGUAGCCGGCCUGAGAGGGCGACCGGCCACACUGGGACUGAGACACGGCCCAGACUCCUACGGGAGGCAGCAGUGGGGAAUAUUGCGCAAUGGGCGAAAGCCUGACGCAGCGACGCCGCGUGGGGGAUGACGGCCUUCGGGUUGUAAACCUCUUUCAGCAGGGACGAAAGUGACGUGUACCUGCAGAAGAAGCGCCGGCUAACUACGUGCCAGCAGCCGCGGUAAAAC
rnacentral:rRNA from 1 species